GACGAACGCUGGCGGCGUGCUUAACACAUGCAAGUCGAACGGAAAGGCCCUGCUUUUGUGGGGUGCUCGAGUGGCGAACGGGUGAGUAACACGUGAGUAACCUGCCCUUGACUUUGGGAUAACUUCAGGAAACUGGGGCUAAUACCGGAUAGGAGCUCCUGCUGCAUGGAGGGGGUUGGAAAGUUUCGGCGGUUGGGGAUGGACUCGCGGCUUAUCAGCUUGUUGGUGGGGUAGUGGCUUGCCAAGGCUUUGACGGGUAGCCGGCCUGAGAGGGUGACCGGCCACAUUGGGCCUGAGAUACGGCCCAGACUCCUACGGGAGGCAGCAGUGGGGAAUAUUGCACAAUGGGCGGAAGCCUGAUGCAGCAACGCCGCGUGCGGGAUGACGGCCUUCGGGUUGUAAACCGCUUUCGCCUGUGACGAAGCGUGAGUGACGGUAAUGGGUAAAGAAGCACCGGCUAACUACGUG
rnacentral:rRNA from 1 species